GAUGAACGCUAGCGGCAGGCUUAAUACAUGCAAGUCGAGGGGCAGCAGGACUGUAGCAAUACAGUUGCUGGCGACCGGCAAACGGGUGCGGAACACGUACGCAACCUACCCAAAACUGGGGGAUAGCCCGGGGAAACCCGGAUUAAUACCUCGUAACCUUUUUAAGUGGCAUCACUUGAUAAGUAUAGCUCCGGCGGUUUUGGAUGGGCGUGCGCCUGAUUAGGUAGUUGGUGCGGGUAACGGCCCACCAAGCCUGCGAUCAGUAACUGGUGUGAGAGCACGACCAGUCACACGGGCACUGAGACACGGGCCCGACGCCUACGGGAGGCAGCAGUAAGGAAUAUUGGUCAAUGGACGCAAGUCUGAACCAGCCAUGCCGCGUGAAGGAUGAAGGUCCUCUGGAUUGUAAACUUCUUUUAUGGGGGACGAAACCCGGAUAUUCUUAUCCGAUUGACGGUACCUCAGGAAUAAGCACCGGCUAACUCCGUG
rnacentral:rRNA from 1 species